AGAGUUUGAUCCUGGCUCAGGAUGAACGCUAGCGGCAGGCUUAAUACAUGCAAGUCGUGGGGCAGCAGGUCCGUAGCAAUACGGAUGCUGGCGACCGGCAAACGGGUGCGUAACACGUACGCAACCUUCCUUCAGGCGGGGAAUAGCCCGGGGAAACCCGGAUUAAUACCCCAUAAAAUCUUGGGAUGGCAUCAUCCUAUUAUUAAAGCUUCGGCACCUGAUGAUGGGCGUGCGGCUGAUUAGGUAGUUGGCGGGGUAACGGCCCACCAAGCCAGCGAUCAGUAGCUGAUGUGAGAGCAUGAUCAGCCACACGGGCAGUGAGACACGGGCCCGACUCCUACGGGAGGCAGCAGUAAGGAACAUUGGUCAAUGGACGAAAGUCUGAACCAGCCAUGCCGCGUGGAGGAUGAAGGUCCUCUGGAUUGUAAGUUCUUGUAUUGGGAGAAAAAGGGGAAUCAGUCACAAUGACGUCCCAGAGCAUAGCCGCA
rnacentral:rRNA from 1 species